CGCCCCCUUCCCCUCACGGCGGCCGGCCACUAACCCCGGCCCCGGCCGGUCACCCCCGGCAGCUGCGGAGAAAGGCAGCAGCGGCGGGAGGAGGAGCACCAGUUUGUUCUACCAGUUUUCACAGCGUCAGUAAGGACAGUACAUCCCAGGAGUGGUCGGUCCCUGAGCAAGUCACUGCACUACUGGCAAUGAAGCAGAACUGCAGAAAACAGAAUAAGAGAACAAAACCCAGAAAGAAGAGCAAAGAUGGAGCACCAUGUCAUUGCACUGUUGAUCAUCAAGUCACUCAUCUACAGAUCACUUCAGAUCCAUACUGCAGGCUACUUUCUUAGCAAACUGGCAUAUCACAUACAACAAGAUCAAUAUUUCCCACUUCUCACAAUGCUGCAAAGGGAUUUUUUUUAUAGUUACAUCUGAUCAGUUUUUCCUGUGCUAGUAAAAGAUGUUUGUCCCUUUGCACUUACACUCUUUGGUAUAGUUUGGAGCUCUGACACAUAUUUUCUUUCUCCUCUGGUGACAUUUACAAGAACACUAUCUUCCUGGAUGGGACUAUUAAGCUCCAUGUUCUUUUCAGAGAAACUUCAUGGGACAGGACAGCACUGCUUGUUUGUCUUGCUUUCAUAAUUGUUCCCAAGUUGGGUUUAAAACAGUCAAUUUACAUUGUUAAAAUAACUGAUUGUUUUUUCCAGAGUUGACUAAAAAAACCUGACUAUUUUUUUUUUUUUUACAGAGCCCUCAGGGGAAAAAAUAUAUCUAAAAGUCUCAAACUGUGACCUAUAAAUAAUAAAUGAAGAUGCAUAGAAAUAAGACUACCUUUGGGUCUCAUGUUUGUCUGACACAGUAUGCAGCAAAUCUCCAAAACUUUUAUUUAUUGCACAAGUGCAAAAUUUUACUACUCUUCCAGGGUAUAACAAUAUAUAUCCAGAAGCCAUCAUUUUUAUAAAGCAAGAGUGACCUUAAAGCCUUAAGGAAUGAUAGAAAUCAUAUGUUCCAAACACAUUCUCCUUUCCAAGUUGGAGCAUCCAAACACACUCAUUUUUCUAUGUAGCUUAAUGCAUCAGUCACUGUUAAACAUCCAGAUCCUUGAGGAUUUCGCCUCAUGAUCCAAGGCUCAUUAUAUCUAUACCCGGAGGAGGUCAGGAGCGAGAGGCACUUACUUUUGCUGUCUGGCAACUCAAGAGCUAGAGGUUUUUCAGCAAAUCACUUUCAUCUCAAGGAACCACCACUGCAUCAGUCUACGUGUGCCCUCCAGGCUAAGGCAGAAACAAACCCAGGCGUACGGGAGAGGAGGAGUAAAUAGCAGUCUCUAAGCAGAGCAGGGAAGGAGAGAUGGAUGUUCCUGGAGCUGCCUCUUUCUCCCCUUUGGCUGCAAAAGAAGCCAAGGGAAACUUGCUCCAAUGUAGAUAUCUAAAGUUAGAUGAGAGGAAUCUAUCACCGGGGUAUAUGCAAUCAGCGCAGUAGGUGUGGUGGCAUUCAUUCCAAAGGUACCUUCCCCCUUAUUACCAUGCCUUGCCAAACCCAAGUCAGCAGGACAGAUUCUGCUAUGCCCGGACCAUUUGCCAAAGGCUCAGUCAUCACAUUUGUUUGGGGGGGUGUCAUCCCCACCCAUUAGCAGGGAUUCUUAGAAUCUCUUAGAAACUGAGCAAACAUUUUACUUUAGAUGGCAUCCCUUAACAAACAGCUGCCAGCUAUUGGCUUUUGAGAUAGAUAUAUGCUGCUUUAUUGAUUCUCUGAAAUUUGAGGGAAGUAAGACAAUACACAAAAGCUGAUCAUCAGGAUCAUUUCAGCAUGAGCAUAACUGGAGAGUCUGUCUCUCCUUUGGUCUUGGCUCUGUCCCCUCUGUUUGCACUCACUCGCUGUUCCACAGUUUGCGUAGCUUUGUAGUUUAUGGUUGAUUAAUUCACGUCUUAAGAAAGAUCUCCACUAAGGCUAUUCAUGCAAUGGGAGGGUUCAGGCUGUCUUUCUCCCAGGCCCAUUCCCCAGUGUCCAGUAAUACCGCUCAGCUGAUGCCUUUCCCUUAUAACAGGCACCAAGCAGGACUCUGUCCUCUAUCUGGCCGUUUAUUUUCAUAGACCUGGGGAUAACAGUAUUUUUGAGACUUCUGUCCCUCUGCCAAAUGGGUUGAAAAUUGCCACUUAGUUUCGUCAUUACUGGGGCUGGCUGGCAAACAGCAGAUGGCAUGAUUGCCUUAGGAUAGUAACCUAAAAACAAUCCCCAAAUGGAAAGACGACAUUUAGGUGAAUUUAUGGUUUAUUAUUAUUUGCAUGAGCUGUCAUUUACAAAAGACAGAAACUACGUAGUAAACAGGUAUUUUUAUAAAAGGAAGAAGAAAAUAUGUACAUCAAACGUAACAAAUGCAGAUUGUACUGGAAUAUAUAUGGCACUCAAGUUAAAAUAGAAACCUCACUAAAAACAUUGACACAAAGGAGUAAAGAUUCAAGUCAAGGCAUGGGGAAUUCAUCAGACUCCUCUCAGAAAACGAUGGGAUGACAUUUUAAAUAUGGUAUCAUGUUUACCAUUGCAACAAACAGCCAGCCCAAGACAUUUUUACAUUUUUCAUUACUUCUUGCCUGUUUUUUUUUUAGACCUCUGGUUUUCCAAAAGUCCAUUCCCCAAACUAACUUCCUUCUGGAAUCUCUCAUCUUUAUUCCCGUAAUGAUGUAGUGAAUAGGCCACGAUAUUCAAAACUGCAUUAUCCAGCUCUUGCAUAGCAGUUUUCAUCAUAAUAUAAAAUAUUGUCUUUAUCUGAUGAAUGGAUACUGGGUGAUUAAACAUACAAAAUUUCCAUCUUUUACAAGAAGGUAGAAAUGCUUUAAAAGGCACUAUAAUUAAGCAGCAGCUUACUUUUACAAAACUGAACUUUAUAUUCUACUGAGCAGCGAUUCAGUUCUUUAAGUGUACACCCCUAGUUUCAAGGAGAGGGGUGAUCUCAUUGAAAUCACUGGAUUAGUCAAUGGACACAGGAAAUAAGUAACCGAGGCACAAGUUUUGCUCCGACAUAAAAAUUCAUAAGCUAUUUUUCAUUCAUACAGAUGGAAAUCAUUUAACUGAGUCCCUUUCCUCAUACAUGUUAAGUGCUUAAUUCUUUAGUGUCUUUUCAAUUUUUAUCACACUGAGAAAAGAUUUGGUUAAAACCUUAAUAGUGGAAAAAAUAUAAAGAAAAGCAAAAUAAUUACAAUAUUUCCAUUCUGUUAUGAACCAUAACUCCUUAUGGCACAGCUAUCUACUUUUCUAAAAUAUGGCUAGAAAUAGUCAACAUAGAUUUUAGAAUUUCCAGAAGUGAAAGACAAAAGAAAUCAAUGUUAUAUUUUCAAGUAAGAAGUGGAAAAUAAAAAGCAAAUGCUCAUUUUGGCUGAAGAAGCGCCUACUGAGGUUGAGAAACUUGUGGGAAAGAACAGCCCUUUGUUCUCUUCAUUCUAGCAAUUAUUUAAUGUGGAAUUUUCUUGAAGGCCGAGAAAUUCUAAGUAGCUAAACUAUGUCAAAAGGAGUUGAAAUAAUGUCUUAGAAUCAGCACAAUGACAGUAAUAUUUACUGGUAACACAAAAGUAUAUUACAGCACUUACAUUAAUGAAUGCCAAGUAACUGGAUAUUUACUAUACAGGCUGAAAAGUUCAAUAUAAAAAAAAGGUGUAAAAAGUGUAUUCAGAUUUAAACAUCUCAAUCAGUGUUUUAUAAGAGUUACGCAGAAACAAUGCCCUGUCAAGAUCUACUCACAACUCAUCACUUUACUACAGGUAUAUUAAGUAUUGUACAUUCUAUGCCACCAAAGGAAAAAAGAAAGAAACAAUGAAAAAAAAAAAAAAAAAGUAAAAUCUUUCCUGUAAAAUUCAAGGAAAACGGAUAUGUAACAGCAACACAUUGCUUCAGAAAUCAUUCUCCUGCAGGGAUUAGGUCAUUAAUGUUUGACUGAUGCUGGCUGAUGAGCGGAUCUCUGACAGAAAGUAUCCCUGUAUCAAAGAAUUUGGUGUCCAGAUCUUAUUAAGAUGAGAAACAGGGGCAGUGCCAAUGAUGCAAGCAUUCCAGCUGUGGGGAAAGCACCUCAGUAAGGGGGUUCGCUGUUGCUCCGAGGACUCUGAACACUAAGGGAGUAUCUAUUUGACACCACACAGCUUUCUUGGUAGAGCUGACUCAUCUGGAUGGGGACGCUCUCCUGCCCACCUCGCAAGCCAGGGCAUCGAGAGCAAUGCCUCCACCCGGCAUGGCGUGGGGCUGGGGAGAUAUGCUCCACUGCGGGUUGCAGGCUGCAGCCCGGCACGUUGCAUUGGCACUGCAUUCCAGAUCAAAGGUGUGGCUUUUAAGCAAAUUUCUUGGUUGUGCCCAUACACUGUGCUUUGGCUCACAGCACAAAACACUCUGAAUAUACCAGCUGGGCUCCUUCUGGAUGGUUCUACACCUGGGUCAGGGCAACCCCCACUAUCAAUAGAGUCUGGCCAGAAAAUGGACUGAGAGCAGCCCUGAGGAGAAGGACUUGGGGGUGUUGGUUGACCAGAAGCUCAGCAAGACCCGGCAAUGUGCCCUUUCAGCCCAGAAAGCCAACCACAUCCUGGGCUGCAUCAAAAGCAGCGUGGCCAGCAGGUCCAGGGAGGCGAUUCUCCCCCUCUGCUCCGCUCUGGUGAGACCCCACCUGGGGUACUGAGUCCAGCUCCGGGCCCCCAGCGCAAGGAGGACACGGACCUGUUGGAGCGAGUCCAGAGGAGGCUGUGAAGAUGAUCAGGGGGCUGGAGCACCUCUCCUGUGAGGACAGGCUGAGGGAGUUGGGGUUGUUCAGCCUGGGGAAGGGAAGGUGCCAGGGACACCUUACAGCGACCUUUCAGUACUUAAAGGGGGCUUAUAAGAAAGAUGGGGACAGACUUUUUAGUAGGGCCUGUAGCAACAGGACAAGGGGUAACGGUUUUAAACUGAAAGAGGGUAGAGUCAGAUGAGUUAGUAGGAAGGAAUUCUGUACUGCGAGGGUGGUGAGGCACUGGCACAGGCUGCCCAGAGAAGCUGUGGAUGCCCCAUCCCUGGAAGUUGAAGGCCAGGCUGGAUGGGGCUUUGAGCAACCUGGUCUAGUGGGAGGUGUCCCUGCCCAUGGCAGGGGGGUUGGAACUAGAUGUUCUUUAAGGUCCCUUCCAACCCAAACCAUGCUAUGGUUCUAUGAAACUGGACCAGAAGGCAAACUCCAGAAGCACAUUUCAUGUAUCCAAACCACUAAUGACAGUGGUUAGUCUGUCAUUAACCACUAGGCCAGACUAGAGCAGUCAAAAAUUAAGCCUCCUGAAACAAGGUAGUUCUUUGGCAGGACCCGUUUUGUUCUUCAGACCUACUCUUCUCACACUGCACCAGCAGGUGCUGUAGAGAUGGCCUGUAACUUGGAUACUGCAAGUUGUACUGCUGAAGAGCCCACGACAUCUGCAAGAUUUUCGCCGUAAGUCAGAAACUCCCUCCCAUUACUGUGCUGUUCAACAUCUGGAGUCAAUUUUACAUCAUUAAAAACUCUGAGAACGUUGCAGAGUCAGGCCAUUUCACCCUGCAUUAAGGGGAUGCUCUCAGUCCUCCUUUUAUCGGGGUGGAGGGGAACACUGCACUGACGAUGUCCUGCCCCAAUUUACCCUAUCUUUAAAUUUAAAAUGGUGAGGGACAAGGAGGAAUAAUAGAGAAAUGCUGUUUGGUUAGAGAUGUGGAAAGAGCAGCGGAGGGCAAGCGCUGCUGCAGCUGAGGAGGAGCCUGGAUCAGGGCCCUGAAGGCCUCUGCUGUGGUGGUUUGUGCUUCUGCUCCACCUCCUUCCUCCACGCUGGCUUGGGCCCAGGCCCACGGCUGGGCACGCUCCUGCGGCCGCGCCAGCGUUCCCUUCUGCGCCCCUGCCUUAGCGAGGGGCUGCUUUUCCAGGCAGGCCAGUUCUCAGCAGGGGCAUUCCGUGACCACGCAGGCGCAGCCAAGGGAAUGGUAAUGGAGAAAGUAAUGGCUGAAUGGCCAGGCACCAGGCACAGGGCAGGGGUCUGCUUACGGUGGCCUGUGCAGUCUCGCUGCCAAAUGGCCAUUUCUCCUUUUCAUUUGCACGGUACUGCUGCAGAAAAGGCCGUGGGAUUUAAGAUCACGUGCUCCCUUUGGAAGGCUCCCCAAAAGGGUGAAACUGCUUGGUCUGUGGCACUGCUGGUGGUGUGCUGCAUCAGGGUAUAAGCAAGUCUUUGCAGGAGAGUAGAAGGGAAGAUUUACUGAAGCAAUACUUUGAAACACUACUGUAAAAAAACAAACCAAUGGAAUUAUCAUAAAAUGGAAUUUCGCCCCCCAGCAAACCCCUGCCAGAGACAAUGGACUGACAGCGUGCAAUGGAAAGCAAGAAUGCAAGUUCCACUCCACAAGUUUCACAACCAGUCCUCUCAUACCUACCAUUAAUAUGUCUAACCUCCUAAACUUUUGCGACAGCAGUUCAAAGUCAUGUUUUGCAGAAAAAAAAAAAAAGUUCAGCAGGUUUUUCUUUUAAAAAAAUUCUGCAAUAUUCUGACUAAUUUUGGAGUCUGUGUAAAAAGAACAGAUUUGUUUAAUAACUUCAAAAAGCAAACAAAAUUGUAAGAAAGCUGCAAAUCUAAAGUGGUCUUGCUGCCUAACAUUUUAAACAAUAGAAGCUUUACAGUCAACUCCAAAAAAUAUCAACAAACAUCUACAAUCUUAAUUCAUGUUUUGCUGUGAUGUUUUCAUCAGAUCAAAAUGUUUGACAAAGAAGGGGUACUAGAAGGGAGUAGGUAUAGAUAAUAAAAGUUAGUAGAAAAAUGAUCAGAAAAUUUUCUGAAAAUGCAGAAAAAGUAGCCAUUUUGUCUGGGACAAAGGCAUCUGGAAGCAAUAGGGACAAAAACAGGGGAAGGGGGGG